GUUGUAUAGUCAAGUAAUUAAGUGCAUGUGGUGGAUGCCUUGGCAGUCAGAGGCGAUGAAAGACGUGAUAGCCUGCGAAAAGCUCCGGGGAGGCGGCAAAUAUCCUUUGAUCCGGAGAUGUCUGAAUGGGGGAACCCACCUACUUUAAGGUAGGUAUUGCAACAUGAAUACAUAGUGUUGCAAGGCGAACGAGGGGAAGUGAAACAUCUCAGUACCCUUAGGAAAAAGAAAUCAAUUGAGAUUCCCUCAGUAGCGGCGAGCGAACGGGGGAUCAGCCCAUUAAGUUAUGUGUGUUUUAGUGGAACGCUCUGGGAAGUGCGAACGUAGAGGGUGAUAUUCCCGUACACGAAAGGGCACACAUAAUGAUGACGAGUAGGGCGAGGCACGUGAAACCUUGUCUGAAUAUGGGGGGACCAUCCUCCAAGGCUAAAUACUCCUGACUGACCGAUAGUGAACCAGUACCGUGAGGGAAAGGCGAAAAGAACCCCUGUGAGGGGAGUGAAAUAGAUCCUGAAACCGCAUGCAUACAAGCAGUGGGAGCACCUUCGUGGUGUGACUGCGUACCUUUUGUAUAAUGGGUCAGCGACUUAUAUUCAGUAGCAAGGUUAACCGUAUAGGGGAGCCGUAGAGAAAUCGAGUCUUAAUAGGGCGUUUAGUUGCUGGGUAUAGACCCGAAACCAGGCGAUCUAUCCAUGAGCAGGUUGAAGGUUGGGUAACACUAACUGGAGGACCGAACCCACUGUCGUUGAAAAGCCAGGGGAUGACUUGUGGAUAGGGGUGAAAGGCUAAUCAAGCCUGGUGAUAGCUGGUUCUCCCCGAAAGCUAUUUAGGUAGCGCCUCGGACGAAUACCAUAGGGGGUAGAGCACUGUUUCGGCUAGGGGGUCAUCCCGACUUACCAAACCGAUGCAAACUCCGAAUACCUAUGAGUACUAUCCGGGAGACAGACUGCGGGUGCUAACGUCCGUAGUCAAGAGGAAAACAAUCCAGACCGCCAGCUAAGGCCCCAAAAUCAUAGUUAAGUGGGAAACGAUGUGGGAAGGCAUAGACAGCUAGGAGGUUGGCUUAGAAGCAGCCACCCUUUAAAGAAAGCGUAAUAGCUCACUAGUCGAGUCGGCCUGCGCGGAAGAUGUAACGGGGCUAAAACUAUGUGCCGAAGCUGCGGAUGUAUACUUUGUAUACGUGGUAGGGGAGCGUUCUGUAAGCCGAUGAAGGUGUGUUGAGAAGCAUGCUGGAGGUAUCAGAAGUGCGAAUGCUGACGUGAGUAACGACAAAACGGGUGAAAAACCCGUUCGCCGAAAGACCAAGGGUUCCAGUCCAACGUUAAUCGGGGCUGGGUGAGUCGACCCCUAAGGCGAGGCCGAAAGGCGUAGUCGAUGGGAAAAUGGUUAAUAUUCCAUUACUUCUGUGUAAUGCGAUGAGAGGACGGAGAAGGCUAAAUCAGCCUGGCGUUGGUUGUCCAGGUGAAAGGAUGUAGGCAUGUAUCUUAGGCAAAUCCGGGGUACUCUAUGCUGAGAUCUGAUAGCAAGCUGUACUUGUACAGCGAAGUGGUUGAUGCCAUGCUUCCAGGAAAAGUCUCUAAGCUUCAGUUACACAGGAAUCGUACCCGAAACCGACACAGGUGGUCAGGUCGAGUAGACCAAGGCGCUUGAGAGAACUCUGCUGAAGGAACUAGGCAAAAUGGUACCGUAACUUCGGGAGAAGGUACGCUGUUGUUGGUGAUGGAACUCGCUUCCUGAGCUGACGACAGCCGCAGAAACCAGGCCGCUGCAACUGUUUAUUAAAAACAUAGCACUCUGCAAACACGAAAGUGGACGUAUAGGGUGUGAUGCCUGCCCGGUGCUGGAAGGUUAAUUGAUGGGGUUAGCGUAAGCGAAGCUCUUGAUCGAAGCCCCAGUAAACGGCGGCCGUAACUAUAACGGUCCUAAGGUAGCGAAAUUCCUUGUCGGGUAAGUUCCGACCUGCACGAAUGGCAUAAUGAUGGCGGCGCUGUCUCCAGCAGAGGCUCAGUGAAAUCGAAAUCGCUGUGAAGAUGCAGUGUACCCGCGGCUAGACGGAAAGACCCCGUGAACCUUUACUGCAGCUUGACACUGAACUUUGACCUUACUUGUGUAGGAUAGGUGGGAGGCUUUGAAGCUGGAACGCUAGUUCCAGUGGAGCCGUCCUUGAAAUACCACCCUGGUAAUGUUGAGGUUCUAACUCUGUCCCGUGAUCCGGGACGAGGACCGUGUCUGGUGGGUAGUUUGACUGGGGCGGUCUCCUCCUAAAGAGUAACGGAGGAGUACGAAGGUGCGCUCAGCGUGGUCGGAAAUCACGCGUAGAGUAUAAAGGCAAAAGCGCGCUUAACUGCGAGACCCACAAGUCGAGCAGGUACGAAAGUAGGUCUUAGUGAUCCGGUGGUUCUGUAUGGAAGGGCCAUCGCUCAACGGAUAAAAGGUACUCUGGGGAUAACAGGCUGAUACCGCCCAAGAGUUCAUAUCGACGGCGGUGUUUGGCACCUCGAUGUCGGCUCAUCUCAUCCUGGGGCUGAAGCAGGUCCCAAGGGUAUGGCUGUUCGCCAUUUAAAGAGGUACGCGAGCUGGGUUUAGAACGUCGUGAGACAGUUCGGUCCCUAUCUACCGUGGGCGCUGGAAAUUUGAGAGGAUCUGCUCCUAGUACGAGAGGACCAGAGUGGACGAACCUCUGGUGUACCGGUUGUGACGCCAGUCGCAUCGCCGGGUAGCUAUGUUCGGAAGGGAUAACCGCUGAAAGCAUCUAAGCGGGAAGCCUACCUCAAGAUAAGAUUUCCCUAGGACUUUAUGUCCUCUAAAGAGCCGUUCGAGACUAGGACGUUGAUAGGUUGGAUGUGGAAGCAUAGUGAUAUGUGAAGCUGACCAAUACUAAUUGCUCGUGAGGCUUGACUAUACAACACCCAAGCAGUUG
rnacentral:rRNA from 1 species